rnacentral:rRNA from 1 species
GACGAACGCUGGCGGCGUGCCUAAUACAUGCAAGUCGAACGCAGUGGGGACGGGUGAGUAACACGUGGGUAACCUCCCAUCAGAGGGGAUAACACUUGGAAACAGGUGCUAAACCGAUACUGACGGCUGGACACGCGGUGCAUUAGCUAGUUGGUGAGGUAACGGCGCACCAAGGCCACGAUGAAUAGCCGACCUGAGAGGAGGAUGGGCCACACUGGGACUGAGACCGGGCCCAGAUUCCUACGGGAUGCAGCAGUAGGGAAUCUUCGGCAAUGGACGAAAGUCGGACCGAGCAACACCGCGUGAGUGAAGAAGGUUUGCGGAUCGUAAAACUCUGUUGUUAGAGAAGCGGUAGCUAACCAGAAAGCCACGGCUAACUCCGUGCCAGCAGCCGCGGUAAUUC